AAAAAUAAGCGAAUGGAGCAACAACCAAGGAACACAACCAGCUGAAGAUUCCACAGGUUCUAGCAACCACGUGGACAAUGAACAAGAAAGACAUGGAAGUUCUGAAUGGAAUGUAAAAAUUCCAGCAGCGUGAUGCCAAUGGUAAAAGCCAUGCGGCUGCCAACUUAAAAAUGGCCGCAACAUGGUUUCGUUUGAGGUUAUGAAAAAGUGUAUGGCAUUUCUGGAAAUCUAUAUUCAAUUUACAACUAGAAAAGUUUUCUGAAGCCUUACAACUCCUAGUUAUGUGCCGUGCCAACUUUUACCUAGUGGAUAUUUAUAGAAACAAUAUGGAAAGGCGAUCAAAGGCAACUCUUAACAAAUAUUACAAAACAAGUUCGAAGAUUCACAGUGGAUAGAUAUGAUUGGAAGUUAUUAAGCGAUCUUUAAACAUUGUACAAGAUUGCUUUGUUUGAAAUUCUUGCUGAGAGGAGGAUUGCUGAGAUGUUAAAG